AUCCAGCUGAGGAGUCCCGAAUGAAACAAAACGCGUGUCCUGUAU
rnacentral:hammerhead_ribozyme from 1 species